rnacentral:rRNA from 1 species
CACGUAGGCGGCUAUUCAAGUCGGGGGUGAAAGCCCGGGGCUCAACCCCGGAACUGCCCUCGAAACUAGAUAGCUAGAAUCUUGGAGAGGCGAGUGGAAUUCCGAGUGUAGAGGUGAAAUUCGUAGAUAUUCGGAAGAACACCAGUGGCGAAGGCGACUCGCUGGACAAGUAUUGACGCUGAGGUGCGAAAGCGUGGGGAGCAAACA